CUCACCCGCAGCCACGCUGUCACUGUAAAAUGCUUUUGUGCUAUAAAACGGCACUGUGUUCCUGGAAAACACUCCAUGUAAUGUUAUAUUUCCAUACCAACUUCAACCUUUCAUGCUUUGAAUAUAUCAAGGUUUCAAAAAAUUAGGCCGAGGUUGUAACAAGCAGUGCGAGAGCAUUUUUACCAGUGUUUGCGAAAUACCCUCGGUUUCCUGAAGAACCCUUCUAGAGGCUAGUAAUCAUCUUCCGUGCUGUCAUGUUCAAUAUAGAGAUGAACCAAUGUGACUGAAAGGAUCCAGGUCUCAGUCCUUUCCACUCCACCCUGACUGCCGAUUCGUCUGGCUUCAGGGUUUUUAUUCGAAUAAACAGCAAGCGCCACAGAAUGACUAAUAAUUAGCCGGUCAGCAGCAGACUAAUGCCGCUGUCAAGCUGGGUUCAAGUGGAUGCAUUUGUUUUUAAUGAUUAGUGGAGGGGUACCGAAUCCCCUCCCCCACUGAAAUGAAUUGUGGGGGGUUCACUGGCAAACAUAAGUCAUGCAGUGAGGCAGAGUGGGUUGAUUUCAGCUAUAGUACUCUUACAGCAAGUUAAUACGCAAGUUUUUUUUUUUUUUUUUGCAGAAGUGCAGCUUGCAGACUGCAGCAACUGUCUUAACAGUCUGUAAAUAUGAAGGUUAAUAGCCGAGAAACUGGUAAAAAUCAAAGAUGGCACCUUGAGCUCUGAGUCUGUGAUUUUGUUCAUGCAGUCACUACCAAGGAGACACACACAUCCCAAAUCAUGAAACAUCAUGAAACAAUCCGUAAAUAUAUAUAUGCCAAGAUUUUCGCCAUGCAUCUGCUCAAACAUUAUUCCAUCAGCUUGUAUGGAAAUGAACAUGAAUUGAGAUAUAGAGUAAUUUAACAUUUCUGUUCUAGUUUGUUAAAUGGUUUUAUAGCUGUUCAUAUUUGACCUGCAGUAGAUAACCCCUUCUUUUAGUAACCAGAUUAUCUCAGAGUGACGGGGUGGGUAUUAUGGGGUUGAGGGUUCAAUAACAGAGCAGACUGCUGUGUCAGAAACACCAUAGCAGUUCAUGUUAAAGUUGUUUUACAGCUUACAUUGGACCGUUAUUUAAAAAUAAAUGUAUGGUUUUGACUAGGAAAUUAUAGAUAGGAGUCAGUGCAUCAAAAAUAAACACGCCUGGCUUCAUUUAAAUAAUCAUUAUUUUCUAUGCAAGUAAAUGUGACAGCAGUUUAAACAUAAGGAAAGUUUGCAGAAACCGCAAUGAUUUUGUUGAGAUUUAAAUUGUUUUAAGAGAGUAGGAAACUGCUGUGGUUUCUUGGAGAUUCUUCACCUUAUGGGACCAACUGGUCUGGAUUUAAACUAAAUGAAGACACCAAGAACGUUUUCUACUGUGGGUUGGUGUAAGUCAGGAAAAGACUUCAAAAAAAUGUAAAGUACAACAAACAGACUACAAUCAAUGCUGGGUGAUCAUAUCUACUAAUUAUAAAUAUUGUAACAGCAUGACUCUCAGCAAUAUCUUUUUGCUUUGAUUCAAAUUUAGCAUGAUUGUCCUUCAGCAUCUCUGACUCAGUGAAGGUAUUCCCGUUCUGAACAACAGUACUAACUCUACCCUUUUAUAAAAAAAAUAAAAAAAACAUAGACAUUGCUGAAUAAAAAAAAAAACAAAAAACAAGCUAGUUAUUCCUUAUUAGCUAUUCCAAAACAAAGAAAUGUCUCAGUCUGUUGGUUAUUUCCUCCAAAAAAGGAAGAGACAUUUUUUAAUUUGUAAAAUAAAUUUGAUUUUGAAAUUUAAACAUAACUUCUAGGUGGUUUGAAUCACAGAAACCGUUUUUUUAAACCUGCAGAAACGUAGCUUUACUGGUUUGCUUGGUCCUCUGCAGCCUGGGGUUUUCAGACAGGAGAAAAGUGCAGGUUGAAAUAUUGAGGUCAGUUAGAAACGCUUUACUGUCCAGUGUCCGAUGCAGCUCACUGUAGUGGCUCCAAAACUGGGUUUUGCUCAGCUGAUGGGCAUGUGAGUAAUCUGUUAAUAUGAAACAAA